rnacentral:rRNA from 1 species
AUUGAACGCUAGCGGGAUGCUUUACACAUGCAAGUCGAACGGCAGCGCGGACUUCGGUCUGGCGGCGAGUGGCGAACGGGUGAGUAAUGUAUCGGAACGUGCCCAGUAGCGGGGGAUAACUACGCGAAGGCGUAGCUAAUACCGCAUACGCCCUACGGGGGAAAGCAGGGGAUCGUAGGACCUUGCACUAUUGGAGCGGCCGAUAUCGGAUUAGCUAGUUGGUGAGGUAACGGCUCACCAAGGCGACGAUCCGUAGCUGGUUUGAGAGGACGACCAGCCACACUGGGACUGAGACACGGCCCAGACUCCUACGGGAGGCAGCAGUGGGGAAUUUUGGACAAUGGGGGCAACCCUGAUCCAGCCAUCCCGCGUGUGCGAUGAAGGCCUUCGGGUUGUAAAGCACUUUUGGCAGGAAAGAAACGUCGCGGGCUAAUACCCCGUGGAACUGACGGUACCUGCAGAAUAAGCACCGGCUAACUACGUG